AGACACUGCUGCAGGUCCAAAGCAGUUGCCUCCAUUAAUCCCAAGAGCAAAAUGUGGCCCUUUCCAGGUAGAGCUCUCUGACAAGAAGGAAAAUACUAUCUGUGCUAGGUGCUGACAGCAAUGGAAAAUGAAGCCCCACACAAUAGCCUCUGCACUGCAAAUGGUACUUCAAACUUUCAUGUCCUACUUUUCCAUGGUCUUUCCAUCCUUAUUCUGGAGGAGACAUCUACCAAGGUGUUCAGCUGUACAAGGAAGAAAGACCAGCACCCAAAUAUUCUGUCAGAGGCUGCUCUGACCAGAUCUACAGGCUGUACCUGCAUGAGUCAUCUGAGGAGCAGGGAGCUAUUGCUCAAAGGUAGUUUGG